rnacentral:piRNA from 1 species
ACCGUGUUGCAGGAACCUAGGACAAGU